UGUGUGUUCACUAUAGAAUACCUUGCAGACUCAUGGACCCCCUGGAACUGCAGACCCAACUCGAGGAUGCCUGGACACGGAUCACCCAACUUACCAACCUGUCGGUCAGAUGCAGUAUGGCUUCCUUCUGGUGCUGAAAACACCUGAACGGCCGAGUACCUGGCCAUCGUGAGACACGGUUGCUGUACAAGUGAAGGGAGAUACGGUCUCUAACUCGGUGACUCCAAAAAAAAAAAAAAGCAAGAGCCCGGAAAAUUGACAACAAAAAACAUGAUUAUGAAAAUCUUUGGAAACUUCUAUGAGGUUUUAUAUGAAUUACCAAAAGAUUUCAAAGUACCAUGAGUAUGAAGCUGCACUUGAAUCAAGUGGGAAAAUGUGUCCUCUGCAUUUGACCCUAACUAUGGAGCAUGUGAUAGCUAUGCCAGCCAGGGGACAGACUCCAAUUCUGAGGCCAGAGCCCUGAUCGUCUGAACCCGAGCACAUGCAGGUUGGCCGAGUGCCUCUCACCCUGGCGGAGCAAUCCCAUAAACUCCAGCAAUGUCUCUGCCUGUACUGUGGGGCUGCAGGGCACUUCAACCAAGCCUGCCCCGUGCACCUGGAGCAGAUGCUGCCUGAAGCCGUCCAGGUAAGGGCAUUCUCGCCUGCUCUCAUCUCCAAAAAUCUGAUGGUUGUUCUGAUUAUUUUGCAGUGGGCCAUGAGCCUGGUGAAGGAAUGCGUCCUCAGUGGAGAGUCUGCAACCUGAAGAUAUGUUAAUCAUCCCGCCACAGUAUCAGGAGUUCCGAGAUGUGGUCAGCAAAGCCCUCUUCUUCAGGUUGCCCCAACAUCACCAUUCGGACUGCGUCAUAGAGCUUGUGGAAGGAGCUGCUCUUCCCAAAGGACGUCUUUGCUCCCUGUUGUGCCCUAAAGAAGAGGCCAUGUGGAAGUAUGUGCACGAAUCCUUACAACCAGCUAUUAUACAAUACUCUACUUCCCCCGUGGUGUCUGGGGUCUUUUUUGUGAAGAACAAGGAUGGAGGGCUUCGCUAACGGGCGCUAUAUGCAAUUACAAAGAAGUGCCGCUUCCCUUAAAUCCAUCUGCAUUGGAGCAUUGCGGACUGCUCAGAUCUUCACUAAAUCAGAUCUACGGAGUGCGUCUGGAUUAAAGCAGGGGACGAGUGGAAGAUGUUUUACAUUACCACCACUGGUCAAUACGAGUACCUUUUGUUGCUGUACGGAUUAGCUCGUAGCCCCUCCAUUUUCAAUCUUUCAAGUCCUAAACGACGUUAUACCAGUUGUUAUGCAUUUCUCGACACGUUCUCAUGAAUUGAUAGGCUAUGUAUCCAAGUGUAAUUUUUUCCCCCUCUGCGUUUAACACACUGCAAGCUUUUUAACAUUCUUUUUUUUUUUUUAUUAAACAUUUAGCUGACAGU